UCUGUCUGUCUUUAUUUUACUCACCUUAAAAAUCAUCAAGGUGUAAAGAAGUUGGGUACCGCCGUGUGUGCUAGGGACGAUUGUUGAUUCUUCUAAAAAGAUGACUACUCCAGGACCAUCAUGUGUACAACAGUGAAAAUGACCCCAGCACAAGGUUUAACACAGAACAAGCAGCUAUGCUAAAUCAUACUAAAUAAUUCAAUACAGCACUUGGCGGAUGUUUGCGAGGUGUCUUCCCUCGUCCACAUUUCCCUGAAAACCGAAGGCACAGAAGCACUGGACGCAGCUGCUAGAGGAGGGAAAAAGAAUAUCUAGUACACAGUGACCAUAAGAAGAGAUCAUCACAACCCCCAACGUGGUGCAGACUGCAUCCUUAAAAAUUUAGUUCUACAAAUGUUGACCUAGCAAAAGUGGACUUUAUAGAAAUACACUGAAGUAACAUUUUCAAAAUUGUUUUUAAGUUCUAAAGUUGAAAGUCACGUGUAGUAAAAAUUACCCUGGAAAAUCCCUAAAUUUCCCAUAAAUAUAGAGUACAAGAUUCUUGGUAGACAGCCCUGUACACUAAUAGGUAUGUAGAACUGGAUAAUAUAUACAACAUGUAAUUCUACAGAAAGACCAUAAUCAGCUAGUAAAUAAUUUGAGGGGUUUUGCAACACUUCCACAGUUUUGUAGAAAGUC